CUCGUAGGCGGUCUGUUGCGUCGGGAGUGAAAACUUACAGCUUAACUGUGAGCGUGCUUCCGAUACGGGCAGACUUGAGGUAUUCAGGGGAGAACGGAAUUCCUGGUGUAGCGGUGAAAUGCGCAGAUAUCAGGAGGAACACCGGUGGCGAAGGCGGUUCUCUGGGAAUAUCCUGACGCUGAGGAGCGAAAGUGUGGGGAGCGAACA
rnacentral:rRNA from 1 species